rnacentral:rRNA from 1 species
GUUCACGACGUCCUCCGGCAGGCCGGCUGUAGGGAUCUCGCAAUGGGCGAAAGCUGACCGGAGCAACGACGGGUGAAGUGAAUGAAGGUCUUCGGAUCGUAAAACUCUGUUAUCAAGGAAGAACAAAUGGGUAAGUAACUGGUGCACAUCUUGACGGGUACCUGAUCCAGAAGCCACGGCUAACUACGUGCCAGCAGCCGCGGUAAUACGUAGGUUGGCAAGCGUUAUCCCGGAAUUAUUUGGGCGUAAAGCGCGCGUAGGGCGGUUUUUUAAGUCUGAUGUGAAAGCCCCACGGCUCAACCGUGGAGGGUCAUUGGAAACUGGAAAACUUGAGUGCAGAAGAGGAAAGUGGAAUUCCAUGUGUAGCGGUGAAAUGCGCAGAGAUAUGGAGGAACACCAGUGGCGAAGGCGACUUUCUGGUCUGUAACUGACGCUGAUGUGCGAAAGCGUGGGGAUCAAACAGGAUUAGAUACCCUGGUAGUCCACGCCGUAAACGAUGAGUGCUAAGUGUUAGGGGGUUUCCGCCCCUUAGUGCUGCAGCUAACGCAUUAAGCACUCCGCCUGGGGAGUACGACCGCAAGGUUGAAACUCAAAGGAAUUGACGGGGACCCGCACAAGCGGUGGAGCAUGUGGUUUAAUUCGAAGCAACGCGAAGAACCUUACCAAAUCUUGACAUCCUUUGACCGCUCUAGAGAUAGAGUCUUCCCCUUCGGGGGACAAAGUGACAGGUGGUGCAUGGUUGUCGUCAGCUCGUGUCGUGAGAUGUUGGGUUAAGUCCCGCAACGAGCGCAACCCUUAAGCUUAGUUGCCAUCAUUAAGUUGGGCACUCUAAGUUGACUGCCGGUGACAAACCGGAGGAAGGUGGGGAUGACGUCAAAUCAUCAUGCCCCUUAUGAUUUGGGCUACACACGUGCUACAAUGGACAAUACAAAGGGCAGCUAAACCGCGAGGUCAAGCAAAUCCCAUAAAGUUGUUCUCAGUUCGGAUUGUAGUCUGCAACUCGACUACAUGAAGCUGGAAUCGCUAGUAAUCGUAGAUCAGCAUGCUACGGUGAAUACGUUCCCGGGUCUUGUACACACCGCCCGUCACACCACGAGAGUUUGUAACACCCGAAGCCGGUGGAGUAACCAUUUAUGGAGCUAGCCGUCGAAGGUGGGACAAAUGAUUGGGGUGAAGUCGUAACAAGAGUCUACCCG